rnacentral:rRNA from 1 species
CAGUCGCCACGGUAAUACGAAGGGUGCAAGCGUUAAUCGGAAUUACUGGGCGUAAAGCGUGCGUAGGCGGUGAGUUAAGUCUGCUGUGAAAUCCCCGGGCUCAACCUGGGAAUGGCAGUGGAUACUGGCUCGCUAGAGUGUGUCAGAGGAUGGUGGAAUUCCCGGUGUAGCGGUGAAAUGCGUAGAGAUCGGGAGGAACAUCAGUGGCGAAGGCGGCCAUCUGGGACAACACUGACGCUGAGGCACGAAAGCGUGGGGAGCAAACAGGAUUAGAUACCCGGGUAGUCCCUGUCUCUUAUAA